rnacentral:rRNA from 1 species
UUGAACGCUGGCGGCAGGCUUAACACAUGCAAGUCGAGCGGGGGAAGGUAGCUUGCUACUGGACCUAGCGGCGGACGGGUGAGUAAUGCUUAGGAAUCUGCCUAUUAGUGGGGGACAACAUCUCGAAAGGGAUGCUAAUACCGCAUACGUCCUACGGGAGAAAGCAGGGGAUCUUCGGACCUUGCGCUAAUAGAUGAGCCUAAGUCGGAUUAGCUAGUUGGUGGGGUAAAGGCCUACCAAGGCGACGAUCUGUAGCGGGUCUGAGAGGAUGAUCCGCCACACUGGGACUGAGACACGGCCCAGACUCCUACGGGAGGCAGCAGUGGGGAAUAUUGGACAAUGGGGGGAACCCUGAUCCAGCCAUGCCGCGUGUGUGAAGAAGGCCUUAUGGUUGUAAAGCACUUUAAGCGAGGAGGAGGCUACUUUAGUUAAUACCUAGAGAUAGUGGACGUUACUCGCAGAAUAAGCACCGGCUAACUCUGUGCCAGCAGCCGCGGUAAUACAGAGGGUGCGAGCGUUAAUCGGAUUUACUGGGCGUAAAGCGUGCGUAGGCGGCUUAUUAAGUCGGAUGUGAAAUCCCCGAGCUUAACUUGGGAAUUGCAUUCGAUACUGGUGAGCUAGAGUAUGGGAGAGGAUGGUAGAAUUCCAGGUGUAGCGGUGAAAUGCGUAGAGAUCUGGAGGAAUACCGAUGGCGAAGGCAGCCAUCUGGCCUAAUACUGACGCUGAGGUACGAAAGCAUGGGGAGCAAACAGGAUUAGAUACCCUGGUAGUCCAUGCCGUAAACGAUGUCUAC